rnacentral:rRNA from 1 species
GAUGAACGCUGGCGGCGUGCCUAAUACAUGCAAGUCGAGCGAACGGACGAGAAGCUUGCUUCUCUGAUGUUAGCGGCGGACGGGUGAGUAACACGUGGAUAACCUACCUAUAAGACUGGGAUAACUUCGGGAAACCGGAGCUAAUACCGGAUGAUAUUUUGAACCGCAUGGUUCAAAAGUGAAAGACGGUCUUGCUGUCACUUAUAGAUGGAUCCGCGCUGCAUUAGCUAGUUGGUAAGGUAACGGCUCACCAAGGCAACGAUGCAUAGCCGACCUGAGAGGGUGAUCGGCCACACUGGAACUGAGACACGGUCCAGACUCCUACGGGAGGCAGCAGUAGGGAAUCUUCCGCAAUGGGCGAAAGCCUGACGGAGCAACGCCGCGUGAGUGAUGAAGGUCUUCGGAUCGUAAAACUCUGUUAUUAGGGAAGAACGUAUGUGUAAGUAACUGUGCACAUCUUGACGGUACCUAAUCAGAAAGCCACGGCUAACUACGUG